GAUGAACGCUGGCGGCGUGCCUAAUACAUGCAAGUCGAGCGAAUGGAUUGAGAGCUUGCUCUUAUGAAGUUAGCGGCGGACGGGUGAGUAACACGUGGGUAACCUGCCCAUAAGACUGGGAUAACUCCGGGAAACCGGGGCUAAUACCGGAUAACAUUUUGAACCGCAUGGUUCGAAAUUGAAAGGUGGCUUCGGCUGUCACUUAGGGAUGGACCCGCGUCGCAUUAGCUAGUUGGUGAGGUAACGGCUCACCAAGGCAACGAUGCGUAGCCGACCUGAGAGGGUGAUCGGCCACACUGGGACUGAGACACGGCCCAGACUCCUACGGGAGGCAGCAGUAGGGAAUCUUCCGCAAUGGACGAAAGUCUGACGGAGCAACGCCGCGUGAGUGAUGAAGGCUUUCGGGUCGUAAAACUCUGUUGUUAGGGAAGAACAAGUGCUAGUUGAAUAAGCUGGCACCUUGACGGUACCUAACCAGAAAGCCACGGCUAACUACGUGCCAGCCGCCGCCGUAA
rnacentral:rRNA from 1 species